AACCAGGCCCAGGCCUGCUGACUCCUAGUCCAGUGCUCGUGAUGGGCAUAGGGCCCUGAACUAGGGGUCUGGAGGUCUGCGCUUGAAUAUCGACA
rnacentral:pre_miRNA from 1 species